rnacentral:rRNA from 1 species
UACGAAGGACCCGAGCGUUAUCCGGAUUCAUUGGGUUUAAAGGGUGCGUAGGUGGAACGAUAAGUCAGUGGUGAAAGCCUGCGGCUUAACUGCAGAACUGCCAUUGAUACUGUCGAUCUUGAGUACAUUUGAUGUGGGCGGAAUGUGCCAUGUAGUGGUGAAAUACUUAGAUAUGGCACAGAACACCGAUCGCGAAGGCAGCUCACAAAACUGUAACUGACACUGAGGCACGAAAGCGUGGGGAUCAAACAGG